GGAAGUUUUGGCAUUGCCCACAGCCGAGUGACAACACAGCAAGCGGGAAGAGCACAGGAAGGUCAUGGAGUGGUCAGUUUUCUAAAGAGGGACAUGCCAGAAGCACAAACCCAGGCAGGACAUAUUGACUGCACCCUUAAAAGGUCUCUGCUGCAAGAAUUCUUAGUGGGGGGUACUUUCUAGUGCUGGAAUCUCUGCAAUUCAUUCAUUUCAGCUGUGAAGAUACAACUUGAUUGUCCUGUACACUCAUCUGUGGCCUGUUGCAGGUGCACAGCAUUUCUCCAGUAACUUGCAGGUCCACCCCAAAAAGCAGGGCACAGAGCCCUGGGCAACCUCUUGACAGGCUGAUACAUCUCCAUGGCACAACGUGGGGACACACAAAGGAUUUCUCCCAGAUGCUAAGUAAACUGCUACCGUGAGACAGGCCAACCAAAAAGCUGUUCCCCUCACUAAUAAGGGAAAAAGAGGUAAGGAAUGAAUGAAGC